UUCCGUCUGACUUCAAAAGCAUACUCAAGUUACUCCAGGACUGGAGAGUCACUACGAGCUGUGUGUGGAAGCUAAGCUAACUAGCUGAGCAAACUUAGCGCCCUUGGAAGCAGAAAGAGGGCAUCGCAAAAAGCCGCUGCCUGACCAGGGCUCAGAAAAUCUGCAGAGACUUCUCCCACCCCCACCAAGGACUGUUUUCACUGCUGGACUCGAGAAAGAGGUUCUGCAGCCUCCGUAGCAGAACCUCCAGGUUCUGUAACAGCUUCUUCCCUCGGGCCGUAAGACUC